rnacentral:misc_RNA from 1 species
GAUGAAGAACGCAGCGAAAUGCGAUAAGUAAUGCGAAUUGCAGAAUUCCAGUGAGUCAUCGAAUCUUUGAACGCACAUUGCGCCCGCCAGUAUUCUGGCGGGCAUGCCUGUUCGAGCGUCAUUUCAACCCUCAAGACCCCUUCGGGGGACUUGGUGUUGGGGACCGGCACAGGGGCCUGCCUGCUUGUCUUGCAGCGCCCUCGCCGCCCCCGAAAUGAAUUGGCGGCCUCAUCGCGGCCUCCCCUGCGUAGUAGCACAACCUCGCAACGGGAACGUGACGGCGGCCACUGCCGUAAAACAACCCAAUUUUAUUAGAGUUGACCUCGAAUCAGGUAGGAAUACCCGCUGAACUUAAGCAUAUCAAUAAGCGGAGGA